rnacentral:lncRNA from 1 species
UUUUUUAUUAAUUUUUUAAAAAUUAUAUUAUAUUAUAUUAUAUUAAAAAUAACAAAUAAAUUGUUUAUCCUAAAAUUUGAAUUUAUUCCUAGAUAUAGAUUUUAAAAAAUAAAAAAAUCAUAGUAACAUUUUUUUUUGUUUUAUCAUUAAGUAACACUUAUAUAAAAUCUAAAUUAGAAAUCUAAAUACCAAAAAUUGAAUAUUAAAAGUGAAAAAAGAGAAAAAAGAAAAAAGAAAAAAAAGGAAUAGAUUUUAUUUAGAAAAUUUAGAAAUUAACCCCAAAACUACAAGCCCUAGUUCGUCCUCCCUCCCUGUCUCCUCCCUGUCUCUCGACUCUCUCUCUCUCCCCUCUCGACUCCGCCGCCGGCGCCGCUGCCCCACGCCGGCCCGUCGCCGCCCACCCUCGCUGCUGCCCCGCGCCCUAGUUCUUCUCUGUUCGAUUGGUCGAGCCCUAGUUCUUCUCUGUUCGGUACAACGCAGCCGUCGCCAUCUCAGGGAGACCGG